rnacentral:rRNA from 1 species
CACGUAGGGUGCGAGCGUUGUCCGGAAUUAUUGGGCGUAAAGAGCUCGUAGGCGGUGUGUCGCGUCGGCCGUGAAAACCUGCAGCUUAACUGUGGGCUUGCGGUCGAUACGGGCAUCACUGGAGUUCGGCAGGGGAGACUGGAAUUCCUGGUGUAGCGGUGAAAUGCGUAGAGAUCCGGAGGAACACCAGAGGCGAAGGCGGCCUACUGGGCUGCACCUGACGCUGAGCCGCGAAAGCCAGGGGAGCGAACGGG